rnacentral:rRNA from 1 species
UACGGAGGGUGCAAGCGUUUGUCCGGAUUUAUUGGGUUUAAAGGGUGCGUAGGCGGCCUUUUAAGUCGAGUGGUGAAAGACCCAUAGGCUCAACUAUGGAACUGCCAUUGAUACUGAAAGGCUUGAGUACAGACGAGGUUGGCGGAAUGGAUGGUGUAGCGGUGAAAUGCAUAGAUACCAUCCAGAACUCCGAUUGCGUAGGCAGCUAACUAGGCUGUAACUGACGCUGAGGCACGAAAGCGUGGGGAGCAAACAGG